UACGGAGGGGGCUAGCGUUGUUCGGAAUUACUGGGCGUAAAGCGUACGUAGGCGGACUAUUAAGUUAGAGGUGAAAUCCCGGGGCUCAACCCCGGAACUGCCUUUAAAACUGGUAGUCUUGAGUUAUGGAGAGGUAAGUGGAAUUCCUAGUGUAGAGGUGAAAUUCGUAGAUAUUAGGAGGAACACCAGAGGCGAAGGCGGCUUACUGGACAUAUACUGACGCUGAGGUACGAAAGUGUGGGGAGCGAACGGG
rnacentral:rRNA from 1 species